UGACCUCAGAUCAGGCAAGGCAACCCGCUGAAUUUAAGCAUAUUAAUAAGCGGAGGAAAAGAAACUAACAAGGAUUCCCCUAGUAAUGGCGAAUGAAGCGGGAACAGCUCAAAUUUAAAAUCUCCAUUGCUUGCAACGGCGAAUUGUAGUUUCGAGAAGCACUUUCUCGGCGGAUCCGAGGUCGUCCAAGUUGCUUGGAACAGCACGUCGUAGAGGAUCCUGACUAUGCUAAGUUGUACCACCCAAAAGCUGGGGGAACCAAGCUUCCCUUACAGACGAAACGCGCUCGAGCACUGCAUCGUGAUGCGGGAGUCCCUGAGGGACGGUAUUGUAUUCCCGAGAUACAGCAAUUUCAGCGCUAUCUGGGUGAGGGCGGCUUCGAGCUUAACGUGGUGUCGAGGGAACACGCGAACACGGUGAUCUAUUCUGGAAACUUACCCGCUUUUGAGUACAGGGUCUACCUCUACUACGCCAAGGAACAUUUCGAUUAUAUCAAUAGCAUGCCAGGGAUGUUUGGUCGAUGUUAUUGUUGUACGAGGUGCCAAAAGGGGUACGAUCGAAGAUAUCACAAGUGUAACAACCAAUCCUAUGGGUGUGGUGAGCAAGAGUGUGCCUCUUGGUUCCACCCGCCGAAUAAGACGUUGGGAGUGGCAGUAUUGUGACGUGUGUCACCGGUACUUUCGUACACAGACGUGUUUGGAGAACCACCAACGUGUCAGGCCUCGAGGAG
rnacentral:ncRNA from 1 species